rnacentral:rRNA from 1 species
GGGGCAAUGAGUGGACUGCGGCUUAUUUGACUCAACACGGGAAAACUCACCGGGACAAGAUACAUGUAUGAAGGACAGACUGCGUGAUCUUUCCCAAUAAUGUAAGUGGUGGUGCAUGGCCGUUCGUAGUUCGUGGAUUAGUUUGUCUGGUUUAUUCCGAUAACGAGCGAGACCUUAGCAAUCUUAAUAGGGGUGUUCAGCCAGUUUGCAACUCCUACUCUGGUCGCAGGCUUGUUCUCUGCUUCUGGUCUGCUGUUUCCUGGGCUCUCGGGUCUGGGGAAUGGUGGGUCGGGAGUGGGGGGCACGUACCGGGCUGGGGAACGUGGGGAUGUCUAGACAGCUGUCACCUAUGAACGUCAGUUUCUUCUUAGAUGAAUCCGGGCCGAAGAGGUCUAUGAAAUAAGGCAAUAACAGGUCAGUGAUGCCCUUAGAUGUUCUGGGCCGCACGCGCGUUACAAUGGCAGGUAAAGCAGGCGGUGCCGAAAGCAACCAUCUCGGAAAAAGGAUGGGGCUUCGGCCUAUCCCAGUGCCUAUGGGCGUUCUGGUAACCCUUAGGUCCUGCCUCGACUGGGAUAGCCUUACUGUAAUUAUUGGUCUUGAACGAGGAAUUUUUAGUAUUCGCUGGUCAUUAGCCUGCGACGAAUCAGUCCCUGCCCUUUGUACACACCGCCCGUCGCUGCGUACCAAAUA